ACAAGGUCACACCAAAUCCAACUGCCACAGUUUUGUGCCAUGGUCUUAUCAAUUCUGAGAAGCAGCGCUUCUUAAAGUUAGCCACGACAGGAACACACCGUCUGUACCUGAAGAGGGAGGCUACGCUCCGCGACACCCAGGUCCUCAGAGCCGCCAUCCCGCGGCAGCCGCACGCCAGACGCACACGCCGGAAGUGACGCCACUUCGUGAGCGAGGGACUGUGCGCGGCCUCUUCUUGGGUGGGCCUGGCCUCAUGACCACACCCCCGCCCGAGAGAACAGUCUGGAUUGGACAGUCUGGGGGGAAGGGGCGGGGCUUAGGGUAACGGCAGUAACGGCUGCGACGAGCGCCCAACCGCCGGAGCUUCCGCGCGGGACGGGGCGGGCCCUGGGCCUGAGGGCGCUGAGCGGGCGGAGCGGAGUCGGCCGUCGUGAGAGGAAGAUGGACUCCUACGCGGGCGAGGCCUGAGGCCUGCCUCGAGAGGCAGUCCUGGCCUGAGCGCGAGACGCAGACUUCUUCCGUCGGCGGGUGGAACGGUGUCCAGCAGGAGGCGGAGCAGGGCGCCGCGGCGCCGGCGGCUGAGGGCGGGCACGAGGCGGGCGGGGCGGGGGGCGGGGCUGCGGGCGCUGUCACUUCAGCACCAGGAAAUAGGUGGUCCAGCCGGCCAGCAGCAGCGCUCCGAUGAGCACCGUGUAGCUGAGGAGCACGAAGGCCAGCAGCUCCCGCAGCAGCUGCAGCACGUGGAUGGUGGACGAGGCCGGCAUCGCAGCGAGCGGGAGGCCCGAGAACCUGCGGGGCGGGGGCAUUCUGGAGUCCCUGGACGCGCAGAGACCGUCCCCCCGUAAGCCCACCCUCCAUUGGCCACUCCGCAAGCGCUAUGUGGAUACAGGGGGACUAGGCUGGGUCCUGGCCCUCAAAAGAGUAAACACGCUGCCUAAGGCUGAGGAAGCCCCAAGUGCUGCUUUUUCCCUAACCACCAUCUGAACGCCCUCUUUGCAUUUACACUAAUAGAAGUCUGUUAAACCAAAA